rnacentral:rRNA from 1 species
UACGUAGGGUGCAAGCGUUGUCCGGAAUUAUUGGGCGUAAAGAGCUCGUAGGCGGUCAGUCGCGUCUGCUGUGAAAACUCGGGGCUUAACUCCGGGCCUGCAGUGGGUACGGGCUGACUAGAGUGCGGUAGGGGAGACUGGAAUUCCUGGUGUAGCGGUGAAAUGCGUUGAUAUCAUCAGGAACACCGGAGGCGAAGGCGGCUCACUGGGGAUUUUCUGACGCUGAGGAACGAAAGCCAGGGGAGCGAACGGG